rnacentral:tRNA from 1 species
GGUGAUUAAGCACUUGGCUGCUGACCAAAAGGUUGGUGGUUCAAAUCCACCAGUUGCUC